UGAGUAACACGUAUCCAACCUGCCGUCUACUCUUGGACAGCCUUCUGAAAGGAAGAUUAAUACAAGAUGGCAUCAUGAGUUCACAUGUUCACAUGAUUAAAGGUAUGCCGGUAGACGAUGGGGAUGCGUUCCAUUAGAUAGUAGGCGGGGUAACGGCCCACCUAGUCUUCGAUGGAUAGGGGUUCUGAGAGGAAGGUCCCCCACAUUGGAACUGAGACACGGUCCAA
rnacentral:rRNA from 1 species